rnacentral:rRNA from 1 species
GAUUCUGGCUCAGGAUGAACGCUAGCGAUAGGCUUAACACAUGCAAGUCGAGGGCAGCACGGUGUAGCAAUACACUGGUGGCGACCGGCGUACGGGUGCGUAACACGUAUGCAACCUACCCGCUAUUGGGGGAUAACCCGGCGAAAGUCGGACUAAUACCCAUAUUAUUCUUACCGGGCAUCCGGUAGGUCUGAAAGAUUUAUCGAUUGCGGAUGGGCAUGCGGAUGAUUAGCUAGUAGGUGGGGUAACGGCUCACCUAGGCGACGAUCAUUAGGGGUUCUGAGAGGAAGGUCCCCCACACUGGAACUGAGACACGGUCCAGACUCCUACGGGAGGCAGCAGUGAGGAAUAUUGGUCAAUGGGCGCUAGCCUGAACCAGCCAAGUCGCGUGAAGGAUGACAGAAUCUAUGGUUUGUAAACUUCUUUUGCAGGGGAGUAAAGUGCGACACGUGUGUUGUAUUGCAAGUACCCUGCGAAUAAGCAUCGGCUAACUCCGUGCCAGCAGCAGC